CCUAACACAUGCAAGUCGAACGGUAACAGGAAGCAGCUUGCUGCUUCGCUGGCGAGUGGCGGACGGGUGAGUAAUGUCUGGGAAACUGCCUGAUGGAGGGGGAUAACUACUGGAAACGGUAGCUAAUACCGCAUAACGUCGCAAAACCAAAGAGGGGGACCUUCGGGCCUCUUGCCAUCGGAUGUGCCCAGAUGGGAUUAGCUAGUAGGUGGGGUAACGGCUCACCUAGGCGACGAUCCCUAGCUGGUCUGAGAGGAUGACCAGCCACACUGGAACUGAGACACGGUCCAGACUCCUACGGGAGGCAGCAGUGGGGAAUAUUGCACAAUGGGCGCAAGCCUGAUGCAGCCAUGCCGCGUGUAUGAAGAAGGCCUUCGGGUUGUAAAGUACUUUCAGCGGGGAGGAAGGGAGUAAAGUUAAUACCUUUGCUCAUUGACGUUACCCGCAGAAGAAGCACCGGCUAACUCCGUGCCAGCAGCCGCGGUAAUACGGAGGGUGCAAGCGUUAAUCGGAAUUACUGGGCGUAAAG
rnacentral:rRNA from 1 species